rnacentral:rRNA from 1 species
UACGAGUGGCCCAAGCGUUAUCCGGAAUUAUUGGGCGUAAAGGGUAUGUAGGUGGUUAUUUUAGUCUGGUGUCUAACCUCUGGGCUCAACCUGGAGACAGCAUUGGAAACGGUAUGACUAGAGUAUGUUAGGGGUGAGCGGAACUCAUAGUGUAGGGGUGAAAUCCGUUGAUAUUAUGGGGAACACCAAAAGCGAAGGCAGCUCACUGGGACAUUACUGACACUGAAAUAUGAAAGCGUGGGUAGCGAAUGGG